rnacentral:rRNA from 1 species
ACCUACGGGGCGCAGCCGUGAGGACUAUUGGUCAAUGGGCGCGCGCCUGACCCAAGCAAGUAGCGUGAAGGAUGACUGCCCUACGGGUUGUAAACUUCUUUUAUAAAGGAAUAAAGAGAGGCACGUGUGCCUUUUUGUAUGUACUUUAUGAAUAAGGAUCGGCUAACUCCGUGCCAGCAGCCGCGGUAAUACGGAGGAUACGAGCGUUAUCCGGAUUUAUUGGGAUUAAAGGGAGCGUAGAUGGGAUGUUAAGUCAGUUGUGAAAGUUUGCGGCUCAACCGUAA